rnacentral:rRNA from 1 species
UACAGAGGGUGCAAGCGUUAAUCGGAAUUACUGGGCGUAAAGUGUGCGCAGGCGGCCGCGCAAGUCGAGUGUGAAAGCCCCGGGCUUAACUUGGGAAUUGCGCUCGAAACUACGUGGCUGGAGUGUGGCAGAGGAAGGUGGAAUUCCACGUGUAGCGGUGAAAUGCGUAGAGAUGUGGAGGAACACCAAUGGCGAAGGCAGCCUUCUGGGCCAACACUGACGCUCAUGCACGAAAGCGUGGGGAGCAAACAGG